GUUAAGCGACUAAGCGUACACGGUGGAUGCCCUGGCAGUCAGAGGCGAUGAAGGGCGUGCUAAUCUGCGAUAAGCGCCGGUAAGGUGAUAUGAACCGUUAUAACCGGCGAUACCCGAAUGGGGAAACCCAGUGUGAUUCGUCACACUAUCAUUAACUGAAUCCAUAGGUUAAUGAGGCGAACCGGGGGAACUGAAACAUCUAAGUACCCCGAGGAAAAGAAAUCAACCGAGAUUCCCCCAGUAGCGGCGAGCGAACGGGGAGGAGCCCAGAGCCUGAAUCAGCAUGUGUGUUAGUGGAAGCGUCUGGAAAGGCGCGCGAUACAGGGUGACAGCCCCGUACACAAAAGCGCAUGUGCUGUGAGCUCGAUGAGUAGGGCGGGACACGUGGUAUCCUGUCUGAAUAUGGGGGGACCAUCCUCCAAGGCUAAAUACUCCUGACUGACCGAUAGUGAACCAGUACCGUGAGGGAAAGGCGAAAAGAACCCCGGCGAGGGGAGUGAAAAAGAACCUGAAACCGUGUACGUACAAGCAGUGGGAGCACCCUUCGGGGUGUGACUGCGUACCUUUUGUAUAAUGGGUCAGCGACUUAUAUUCUGUAGCAAGGUUAACCGAAUAGGGGAGCCGGAGGGAAACCGAGUCUUAAUUGGGCGUUAAGUUGCAGGGUAUAGACCCGAAACCCGGUGAUCUAGCCAUGGGCAGGUUGAAGGUUGGGUAACACUAACUGGAGGACCGAACCGACUAAUGUUGAAAAAUUAGCGGAUGACCUGUGGCUGGGGGUGAAAGGCCAAUCAAACCGGGAGAUAGCUGGUUCUCCCCGAAAGCUAUUUAGGUAGCGCCUCGUGAAUUCAUCUCCGGGGGUAGAGCACUGUUUCGGCUAGGGGGCCAUCCCGGCUUACCAACCCGAUGCAAACUGC
rnacentral:rRNA from 1 species